UACGAAGGGUGCAAGCGUUAAUCGGAAUUACUGGGCGUAAAGGGUGCGUAGGCGGUUGUUUAAGUCUGUCGUGAAAUCCCCGGGCUCAACCUGGGAAUGGCGAUGGAUACUGGACAGCUAGAGUGUGUCAGAGGAUGGUGGAAUUCCCGGUGUAGCGGUGAAAUGCGUAGAGAUCGGGAGGAACAUCAGUGGCGAAGGCGGCCAUCUGGGACAACACUGACGCUGAGGCACGAAAGCGUGGGGAGCAAACAGG
rnacentral:rRNA from 1 species